UACAGAGGGGGCAAGCGUUGUUCGGAAUUACUGGGCGUAAAGGGCUCGUAGGCGGUUUGUCGCGUCGGGAGUGAAAUCCACUGGCUUAACUGGUGGCUUGCUUUCGAUACGGGCAGACUGGAGGUAUGCAGGGGAGAACGGAAUUCCUGGUGUAGCGGUGAAAUGCGCAGAUAUCAGGAGGAACACCGGUGGCGAAGGCGGUUCUCUGGGCAUGUCCUGACGCUGAGGAGCGAAAGUGUGGGGAGCGAACAGG
rnacentral:rRNA from 1 species